rnacentral:lncRNA from 1 species
CAUGUUUUGUGUAAAUCACGUCCUUUUUUCCUACCAAAUGAGCUUAUAAUUGUUUGCAUAUGUUUAUUAUUUUAGUCCCAGAAUAUUACUAUAUGACCAUGAAAGAAAACUUAGAAAACAGGAAAAUGGGGCAGUGAGGGGAGGAAUCACUCACAGUCUACAUAUUAUUAUUUCUUCCCUAUCACCUUUUUGGAUGGACCUUUUUCUACAUCAUUCUAAUUUAGGCGGCAAUUUCAAGGGAGACUUUAGCUUUUUUUUUUUUUUGUCUGUUUGCCUUUUCUUGGGGCGCUCCCGUGGCAUAUGGAGCAGCCCUAGAAAAGGCAAAAAGGCAAAAAAAACCAAAAACAAAACAAAACAAAGCCUGUGUUCUGUGGACAAUGGGUGUACAGCAAGCUAAGGCCCAAGUAGGCUGAAUGAGGAUCACCCUCCCCAACUAGAAACUCUCACCUGCCCUACAACAGAGCUCAAACCAGAGAGAAAGGAAAAACCUCCAGUCUUUGCCUGAUGUCGUCACUCAGCUUGUGACAUAUCUUUAUACAUCCAAAUUAUAAUCGUUUAUUGCACAUCCAUCAAAGGAGUGAAACUAAAAAUACUCUCAAUACCAAGAGUUGGAAAGGGAGAGGAGCAACCGGAACGCAUAUGCUAUAGGCAGGAGUCCACACUGGCACAAGGCGUUUGGGGUACACGUCAGCAACAACUAGGGAAGCAGAAAACAUGCAGAGUUCCUAGGUAUAGCGUGUUCCUAGGUGUUCCUAGGUAUAGCGCCUAAAGAAAUUGCCCCACAUGUUCACAAAAAGGUCAAAAUUCUUCACAGCAACGUUGUUUAUAAUAUAGAAAAACAAAUGAAAACAAGAGAAUGAGUACUUUGUGAAAUGGUCACAGAAUAGAAGUCACUGCAUAGCAGCUAAUCUAAUUUCCUAGAUUAACAUGCAGUCCCUAAAUUAACAAGGGUAAAGAGUAAAAGCAUAAUAUUAAGCAAAAAGCACACCGUGGAAGGUCAGGUAGAGUUGUUUGUUUUGUUUUGUUUUUAUGGCCACGCCUGUGGCACAUGGAAGUUCCCAGGCCAAGGGUUGAAUCAGAGCUACAGCUGUCGCCCAUCCCACAGCUUGUGAUGCCAGAUCCUUAACUCAUUGAGCGAGGCCAGGAAUCAAACCCGCAUCUUCAUAGAGAUAAUGUCAGGUCCUUAACCCAUUGAGCCACAGUGGGGACUCCUAGGUUACUAUUUAUACAAGUUUUAAAAAUCCGCAAAGCAAUACCACACAUCAUUAGUGGAUUUAUACAUACAUAGCAAACGUUUAGAAACUUGCAUGGGAAUGAAAGAACAUUAUGUUUAGUUGAGAGAGUAUCCCUGGAAAAGAAAAGAAAUAGGAUUUAGGAAGGGAGCUUCAGCUGUAUCUACAAUGUUUUAUUUUUGUUAACUCUAACACAAAUAUGGCAAAAUGCAUCUGAAAAGGAGUUUUUUUUUUUUCUGUUUUUCAGUAUACUUAAGAUAUUUCAAAAUUUAGAAAAAGAAAACAAAGCAUGUUGGAUUGGCCAUGCAUUGGUCUGGGUAUCCAUGAGUCUAUGAACUUAGGAAUAACAAUGGUCCAUCCACAAUCUGGGAGAUUUUGACAAACCUAAUGCCAUCACAAAGGCCUUUGUAUCCCCAUGCCCCAGCACAGGGCUUGGUCCAAAGCAACUAAAGACUAAAUGUUGAAUGAAUGAAUGAACCAACAAACGAACAAAUAAAUGGCCAAAUGAACUGAAUGGGUUGUUUGUUAUACAUGCCUUUGAAUGAAAAAGAUGGAAAAAAUUAUUCUUAAUAAUUUGAAAUUCAAACUACGUCUACAUAUGAGUCCAUGGAAAGCUCUUCUUACAGCCAUCGUUAGAAAAUAACUGAAAACAAGUGGACAAAGUCACCUUGAAAUUUUUUCUAUCCCUAGAAUUUAGUAUUUUUCCUUAUCUCAGAGGCAGUCACAGCAUACUCAUCACAUUCUAUUCCUCUCAAAAAGAAGUUCAGGAGUUCCCUGGUGGCAAAGCAGGUUAAGGAUCAGGCAUUGUCACUGCAGCAGCUCAGGUCACUGCUGUGGUAUGGGUUCAAUGCCCAGCCUGGGACCUUCCACAUGCUGGGGGUAAGGGAAAAGAAUUAUUUUUUAAUAAAGGUCAAAAAAAAUUUUAAAUAAAAAAGUUCAUUGUCAUAACAGAUGUAACCAAUAACCUGAAAUAUUUAUAAGUCAAAAGGUAUAUAAGUCAAUUAAAGCACUCUCCCAAGCCUUAGGUGAAGAAUUCUCCACAUUUCUCUGUCUUAUUUACCAGAUGCAUCAGGAUUCUGAGUCAGGCUGUCUUCGUGAAUAAAAGUUGUUCCCAAACUGUCCUCAAAAUGCUAGAACGUAAGAAAAAACUGCCAGUGUGGAUCCCUGUGAUUUCAGAUUCCCGAUCAUUAUAAAAUAAUAUACAGACUCUGUGAAACCCAACAGAAAUAUGCUAGGGUCAAUGUUUGCCAUUAUAUUUUUCCACAAAAUUCAGUUACAUUUCAAAAGAACCAAAACAAGAUCCAUGAUUUAUUCACAAAGCCUACUAAUUAAAUCCCCCAAAAGCAGUUUAAAAUAAUGUAAGCCAAGAGAAUAAUUUCAGAAACUACCCUAGACCUCCACUAUCUGAAAUAAGGUGGCUGUUUUCCACAUUCUUCUUUCUGUUCUUAAAAUAUUAAUUGACUUUCAAAUAUAAUCCUGGCGCUUCCUUCAAAAUACCUUUUCCAUGAAGCAGGGCCAUGUAUUUAUAGUGUCCCUUUAAAGUUUAACAAAAGAAGGAUUCAAAUGGAGUUACCUCCACUCGGCAGAAGCCUUUUUUCAAAUGUGUAACAGGAUCUGACUGCAGUCACUAGGUCUGCUCUCCACACAAAGAAAGGCUGGAAAACAUUUGCGUUAGGCUUCUGGAGUUAAAAAUGAAGAAGCCUUUUCCUUUCCAUCAGUUCCUUGUUAUUAAUAAGGUGGCCACACUAAGCCAGAAAUUAUAACCAUCUGCUUUAGCCAUUAAAUGCAGAUUCAAAGGCCUAAUGAUAAAGUGACCUCUUUAUUAAUAGCAGAAAGCGACAAGUGGCCAUUUUCGCAGAGCAUGCCAGGAGAUAAAUCAAUCCAUACGUUCAGGUUGACUUCAGCAAUAUUGCCUCUGAUUUCUCUUCUCUUUCAGCCUUCAUGUGUGGAAUCACCAGGUUAAACAAAACAGGAGCUCCCAGAAGCCCCUGGCCCAUGAAUUUUGUGUAUCUGGGCUGUGGAUGAGAUGCCACCGACCACCACACCUAAUCUGAAGACGCUGCCUUUUAUUUCUCCCCAUCACAAAAGCAUCACUGCACGUUUUGACUGAACCCAGGUGUGCACACGUGGGGCUUAUUUCCUGUUGUGAUUAUGCAGGAAUCAAGGCCUGAAACAGAGAAGGUGUGUGGGAAAGCCACAGAUCCGCAGAAAGAACAAGGGUCGAGUCGCCACAGCUGGGUUUUCGGAUUUCAGUGACAUAGCCCCCGCAAUUCACAUAUUAGCAUUUUCAUCAUCAAGUUGCAACAUGAUGGAGGCUUUCGAUCAAAGUGGGUUUUCCCAACCUAACCUUGCAGGGCGGACAGAAGUUUUGUUGCAAUGCAGAGGCGCAGGGACACAGCAGCAUCCUCCUGGCAGGAAACCUCCACCACCACCUAGAGCACAGGAAUCUCUGUGGGAUGCGUCUCCCCGGCCCUUGUCCAAGGGGCUUUAAGUACUGGAAGGGCCAGAAAGACCUCUUUACCAACCUCAUCUUUCUUCCAACUCAAGCCAUAGGCUUGAACCCUGAGAAAACAGCAAAAGAGGGAAGCGGUGUGACUGAGCGAGGUCCCGAGGGAUGAGUAGGAGUUCUUGGGUGGAAGGCUUUGUACAGGACGUGGAGCACACUACCUCUCCCACCAGGGAGGGGGCUCUGCAAGCACUGUCUUUACCGCAAAGUUCCAACCCUUUAAACACCCCCAAACGCCCGCGCCAGCAGCUGCGUCUCUGAACCGAACGGCCAGCACCUGCUGCCCCACCCCUCCCGUUUCCCCUCCCUGAGUCCCUCACUCGAGCCACACCGCAGAAGGCGGUCCCCAGACGUCCAGAAGGAGAAAGACCUCCAGAGGGCUGAGGGGGCAGAGGCAGGAACGCCAGACUGAGAGUUCAAUCAGAGACCCUUGCGAGUCAACUCGAAGGGACAUCAGGGAACUCUGCCCAUCUAUACCCCAACCGAAAGAAACCUCCGUCUCUCCAACCAGAAUGCAACCUCAAUGGCACGGGAGUGGGGAGUGGGGAGUGGGGAGUGGGGGUCUGCAGUGCCGGGAGUAGAGGGGAAGGGGGAUGGGGGGGUGGAGAGUAGGAGAGAAAGUGCAUCUGUAUCAGCCAAAUCCCGCAGAUCCACUGUAUCCAUUGAUGGGUGCAGGCUUCACCUCCAGGACACCCC